rnacentral:rRNA from 1 species
UCAAGCUACUAAGGGCGUACGGUGGAUGCCUAGGCGCUAAGAGUCGAAGAAGGACGCGGCGAGCGGCGAAACGCCACGGGGAGCAGUAAGCAUGCCUUGAUCCGUGGAUAUCCGAAUGGGGCAACCCAUCCAGAGUCAUAUCUGGAUAUCGUUAACUGAAUUCAUAGGUUAACGAAGACAACCCGGGGAACUGAAACAUCUAAGUACCCGGAGGAAGAGAAAGAAUCAUCGAUUCCCUGAGUAGCGGCGAGCGAAACGGGAACAGCCCAAACCAAUCCCUUCGGGGGUUGGGGUUGUAGGACCUUCUGUUAGGUCUGAAACUCUAGUCGAAGAGGUCUGGAAAGGCCGGGCAAAGCAGGUAACACCCCUGUAGGCGAAAGAGAGACAGACUGUGAAGGGAUCCUGAGUACCGCGGGACACGUGAAACCCCGUGGGAAGCAGGGAGGACCACCUCCCAAGGCUAAAUACUCCUUAGCGACCGAUAGCGAACCAGUACCGUGAGGGAAAGGUGAAAAGCACCCCGGGAGGGGAGUGAAAGAGAACCUGAAACCGUACGCUUACAAGCAGUCAAAGCACCCAAGAGGUGUGAUGGCGUGCCUUUUGUAGAAUGAACCGGCGAGUUACGGUAUGUAGCGAGGUUAAGACGAGAAGUCGGAGCCGGAGCGAAAGCGAGUCUGAAAAGGGCGCUUAAGUUACAUGCUGUAGACCCGAAACCGUGUGAUCUACCCAUGGACAGGGUGAAGGUGGGGUAAAACCCACUGGAGGCCCGAACUCACUGUCGUUGAAAAGGCAGGGGAUGAGCUGUGGGUAGGGGAGAAAUUCCAAUCGAACACGGAGAUAGCUGGUUCUCCCCGAAAUAGCUUUAGGGCUAGCCUCAAUGGAUGAUUCUUGGCGGUAAAGCACUGAAUAGGCUAGGGGCCUUACCGGGUUACCGAACCUUAUCAAACUCAGAAUGCCAAGAAUUUUAGAUUGGGAGUCAGACUGUGGGGGAUAAGCUUCAUAGUCAAAAGGGAAACAGCCCAGACCAUCAGCUAAGGUCCCCAAGUAUACGCUAAGUGGAAAAGGAUGUGGAAUUGCAUAGACAACCAGGAUGUUGGCUUAGAAGCAGCCACCAUUUAAAGAGUGCGUAAUAGCUCACUGGUCGAGUGGUUCUGCGCCGAAAAUGUAACGGGGCUCAAGCGUAUCACCGAAGCUAUGGCUUGGAACGGAAUUAUUAAGUCUUUAGAUAGGGAACAGGACAGGGAGUUGCAUCAGGAAUUUUGCUUCCGAAGAGGAAGACAAAGGCUUGAAUAAGAGCAAAAUUCCCAAAUGUUCAUAGGGGCUCAAGCCUCAAAAAAGAAGGCUGAGGAUUUAAUAAUUCCGUUCCAGGGGUAGGGGAGCGUUCUAUUUACUGAGAAGUUCAACUGUGAGGUUGGGUGGAGUGAAUAGAAGUGAGAAUGCCGGUAUGAGUAUGCGAAAAGGUGAGUGAGAAUCUCACCCGCCGAAAACCUAAGGAUUCCUGGGGAAGGCUCGUCCGCCCAGGGUAAGUCGGGACCUAAGCCGAGGCGAAAAGCGUAGGCGAUGGACAACUGGUUGAGAUUCCAGUACCACUCAGGAGCGUUUGAGCGAUGGGGUGACACAGAAGGAUAGGUUAAGCGUGCCGUUGGUCGAGCACGCCCAAGCCCAUAGGAAGUGAGACAGGCAAAUCCGUCUCGCGGGUUUCUGAAGGGUGAUGGGGAGCGAAAUGAGUAGCGAAGUAACCGACUCCAAGCUGUCAAGAAAAGCCUCUAGUGAGCAAGUGAGUGCCCGUACCGCAAACCGACACAGGUAGGUAAGGAGAGAAUCCUAAGGCGCGCGAGAAAACCCUCGUUAAGGAACUCGGCAAAAUGACCCCGUAACUUCGGGAGAAGGGGUGCUCUAUGCAAGUAGAGCCGCAGAGAAGAGGUCCAGGCGACUGUUUAUCAAAAACACAGGUUCCUGCCAAUCUGAAAAGAGAAGUAUAGGAGCUGACGCCUGCCCGGUGCUGGAAGGUUAAGAGGAGAGGUUAGCCGUAAGGCGAAGCUUUGAAUUGAAGCCCCAGUAAACGGCGGCCGUAACUAUAACGGUCCUAAGGUAGCGAAAUUCCUUGUCAGGUAAGUUCUGACCCGCACGAAAGGCGUAACGAUCUGGACACUGUCUCAACGAGGGACUCGGCGAAAUUGUAAUACCCGUGAAGAUGCGGGUUACCUGCGACAGGACAGAAAGACCCCAUGGAGCUUUACUGUAGCUUGACAUUGGACUUUGGUAUAAAAUGUACAGGAUAGGUGGGAGACUGAGAAGCUAGGGCGCCAGCCUUGGUGGAGUCAAUGGUGGGAUACCACUCUUUUUGUACUGAAGUUCUAACUUAGGCCCCUGAAUCGGGGUUGAGGACCGUGUCAGGUGGGCAGUUUGACUGGGGCGGUCGCCUCCUAAAGAGUAACGGAGGCGCCCAAAGGUUCCCUCAGCGCGGAUGGAAAUCGCGCGAAGAGUGUAAAGGCAAAAGGGAGCUUGACUGCGAGACCAACAAGUCGAGCAGGGACGAAAGUCGGGCUUAGUGAUCCGGUGGUACCGAGUGGAAGGGCCAUCGCUCAACGGAUAAAAGCUACCCUGGGGAUAACAGGCUUAUCUCCCCCAAGAGUCCAUAUCGACGGGGAGGUUUGGCACCUCGAUGUCGGCUCAUCGCAUCCUGGGGCUGUAGUAGGUCCCAAGGGUUGGGCUGUUCGCCCAUUAAAGCGGUACGUGAGCUGGGUUCAGAACGUCGUGAGACAGUUCGGUCCCUAUCCGUCGCAGGCGCAGGAAAUUUGAGAGGAACUGACCCUAGUACGAGAGGACCGGGUUGGACGGAUCACUGGUGUACCAGUUGUCUCGCCAGAGGCAGUGCUGGGUAGCUAUAUCCGGAGCGGAUAAGCGCUGAAAGCAUCUAAGCGCGAAACCGGCCUCAAGAUGAGAUUUCCCACAGAGUAAUCUGGUAAGACCCCUGAAAGAUGAUCAGGUAGAUAGGCCCGGAGUGGAAGUGCCGUGAGGUAUGGAGCUGACGGGUACUAAUCGGUCGAGGGCUUGACCUA